UACGUAGGGUGCAAGCGUUAAUCGGAAUUACUGGGCGUAAAGCGUGCGCAGGCGGUUUUGUAAGUCAGAUGUGAAAUCCCCGGGCUUAACCUGGGAACUGCGUUUGAAACUACAAAGCUAGAGUGUGGCAGAGGGGGGUGGAAUUCCGACGUGUAGCAGUGAAAUGCGUAGAGAUGUGGAGGAACACCGAUGGCGAAGGCAGCCCCCUGGGUUAACACUGACGCUCAGGCACGAAAGCGUGGGAGCAAACAGG
rnacentral:rRNA from 1 species